GGGGAUGAAUGGUUUCGACGGAGGCGGAGUAUCGCGAGCUGCAGGCCGAGAGGCGCCGACCUCGUAAACUCAGCGCACCAACAAGUGCCACACGCACGAACUACGCGGCUCUCCCGCUCGCGGCCUAAACCCCGCGGACGCUGAGCCCGGUCCCGUCACAGGGGCCCGCCCCUCCGCACCUGCCUUGCCCGGUUACGGAGGAUGGCGACCAAUGGGCAGGGUGCGGCUCCUGGGCCACGCCAGGACGCCUAAGCCAGGCUCUCGGGCCUGAGUGGCUGGCUGCUGGAACCGAUCCGCCGGACGAUCGACUGGCAGCGAGAACCAAGCUCCGGCUAAGCCUGUAGACGCUCGACGAUCGAAACCCCCGGACGCGGGUUCGAUUCCCGCCAUCUCCACCA
rnacentral:tmRNA from 1 species